GGUAAGGUGGCUGAAAAAGCGGUAAAUUGUAAAUUUAUGAAUGAGAAUAAUUAUCUCCCUUUCUA
rnacentral:tRNA from 1 species